CUCCACCAUUUUGUCACACUUGUCAAGCAUAUGAAAAUAUAUAAGACUAAGUAGUCUCGACUUUAUCUUAUGUUUUAAAGAGAAAUCGAUCAGAAAUGAUGAAAAGAAGAACACAUUCAGAAAGGAGUCACCAUCAACUGUUACAUUGCAACACUUACACACAGUACUAUUAAGUAGCUUAUAAUUUUGGACAGAAUAAUUGCCUCAAUGUAUGUGCACUCUAGUUAUACUGUAGAGACGGACAUAAUAUAUUUUGAACCAACUUUAUGUGGGGAUCAAUUCAAUAGCAGGCAGCAUCAUCUUAUUUACAUUGGACUAACUCUCCUCUCCUUGGUAAUUUAAAGCUAGGUAGUAACGCUGACAGGUUAAACUAGGGGACGCAGAGGACGUCAGUGGGGCACAGGUUGGCCAGGGCUUAACAUCUGCCAUCUGGCAAAAAUAGAGCGGAUUUAGAGGAAGAUUUAGCUAGUUUGUCAUUCCUACUUAAUGCAAUCAGAAUUAAGAGUUGCAGAGAGCAGUAGAUUAGUGAGAUUGUUAAACAGUGUGAAUAGAGUGCAUCUAAGAGCUCAUCCGAGACUUCUGUACUCAGGGCAAAAGUAAGCUCGUAUAUACAAGUUACCAACAACCAGGAAAGGUUAAUUUAAUGGUUUUGGAAAGAAACACGUCAAGUGGAGUUGGAUAUAGAUAAUUCAAUGAUCUAACUCCCUCCAAACCUACGGACAAUACCAGGGGAGGGCAGUUACUACUGGCAAAACAAUCCUUCCAUGCUCCUAAAUCUGUGUUUACACAAGGCUCGCAGGUUUGUGCUAUGUUCCCUCUCCAAGUAGCAUAAGGAGAAAAAUUACGUUUGUAUGGAAGACACUUCCAUGACCUCAUAUACAAACUUAAUUUCUCACCUGAUGCUUCUUGGAGGGUGAACAAAAUUGAAUCCAGAGUUUCCUGCUGAUGGUUAUUUGGCCAUCUGCCAAUAAAGUUUGACCCGUUAAUUCACUGCAUUUUGAAUGGCGGGCGGCUGUAUAAUAUCCUCCUUAAGUUACUACGGGGCUUCGAGUAUGCAGUCUUUUUAAAAUGCAAUAUGUUACCUGGAUUGAAGCCAAUGAAUCGGAGGAGAAAUGCAUUUAUUGGCAGUUUAGUUGCAAUUUGUCUGCUGAUGAAUAUUAAAAUUCCUGUAUUUUGCAUUACAAUUCUGUUUACAUAACAGUAGAACGAAAAUGAAACAGCAAUUUUAUCAGAAGUGAAAAAUAUAUUGAAC